GAUGAACGCUGGCGGCGUGCCUAAUACAUGCAAGUCGAGCGAACAGACGAGGAGCUUGCUCCUCUGACGUUAGCGGCGGACGGGUGAGUAACACGUGGAUAACCUACCUAUAAGACUGGGAUAACUUCGGGAAACCGGAGCUAAUACCGGAUAAUAUAUUGAGCCGCAUGGUUCAAUAGUGAAAGACGGUUUUGCUGUCACUUAUAGAUGGAUCCGCGCCGCAUUAGCUAGUUGGUAAGGUAACGGCUUACCAAGGCAACGAUGCGUAGCCGACCUGAGAGGGUGAUCGGCCACACUGGAACUGAGACACGGUCCAGACUCCUAUGGGAGGCAGCAGUAGGGAAUCUUCCGCAAUGGGCGAAAGCCUGACGGAGCAACGCCGCGUGAGUGAUGAAGGUCUUCGGAUCGUAAAACUCUGUUAUUAGGGAAGAACAAAUGUGUAAGUAACUAUGCACGUCUUGACGGUACCUAAUCAGAAAGCCACGGCUAACUACGUG
rnacentral:rRNA from 1 species